rnacentral:rRNA from 1 species
GACGAACGCUGGCGGCGUGCCUAAUACAUGCAAGUAGAACGCAGUUGCGAACGGGUGAGUAACGCGUAGGUAACCUGCCUCCUAGCGGGGGAUAACUAUUGGAAACGAUAGCUAAUACCGCCUACUGUGAGAUGGACCUGCGUUGUAUUCGCUAGUUUGUGAGGUAAAGGCUCACCAAGGCGACGAUACAUAGCCGACCUGAGAGGGUGACCAGCCACACUGGAAAUGAGACACGGUCCAGACUCCUACGGGAGGCAGCAGUGGGGAAUAUUGCACAAUGGGCGAAAGCCUGAUGAAGCCAGGCCGCGUGUAUGAAGAAGGCCUUCGGGUUGUAAAGUAAUCUCAGCGGGGAGGCGUUACCCGCAGAAGAAGCACCGGCUAACUCCGUGCCAGCAGCCGCGGUAAUUC